rnacentral:lncRNA from 1 species
UUUUACUCUCAUAGAGACCUUCCACAGCUCGGUACAAAGCAAAUAUUCACACUUUGGUUCACCUACCGCAACAUACCUCACUCUACCUCACUCGACAACCACCACUACACCUUGCUUGACUAACACAGCCAUCUUACACUCAAUUUUCGAGACAUACAAGACUCUAAUGCAACAUGCAAUGACUUGUAGCUUCAAUUUAGUACUCAUCUAGCUCAAUCCAACACAAAACAGCAA